rnacentral:rRNA from 1 species
CAUGCAAGUCGAGGGGAAACGACAUCGAAAGCUUGCUUUUGAUGGGCGUCGACCGGCGCACGGGUGAGUAACGCGUAUCCAACCUGCCCACCACUUGGGGAUAACCUUGCGAAAGUAAGACUAAUACCCAAUGACGUCUCUAGAAGACAUCUGAAGGAGAUUAAAGAUUUAUCGGUGAUGGAUGGGGAUGCGUCUGAUUAGCUUGUUGGCGGGGUAACGGCCCACCAAGGCGACGAUCAGUAGGGGUUCUGAGAGGAAGGUCCCCCACAUUGGAACUGAGACACGGUCCAAACUCCUACGGGAGGCAGCAGUGAGGAAUAUUGGUCAAUGGACGAGAGUCUGAACCAGCCAAGUAGCGUGCAGGAUGACGGCCCUAUGGGUUGUAAACUGCUUUUAUAAGGGAAUAAAGUGAGUCUCGUGAGACUUUUUGCAUGUACCUUAUGAAUAAGGACCGGCUAAUUCCGUGCCAGCAGCCGCGGUAAUACGGAAGGUCCGGGCGUUAUCCGGAUUUAUUGGGUUUAAAGGGAGCGUAGGCCGGAGAUUAAGCGUGUUGUGAAAUGUGGAUGCUCAACAUCUGCACUGCAGCGCGAACUGGUUUCCUUGAGUACGCACAAAGUGGGCGGAAUUCGUGGUGUAGCGGUGAAAUGCUUAGAUAUCACGAAGAACUCCGAUUGCGAAGGCAGCUCACUGGAGCGCAACUGACGCUGAAGCUCGAAAGUGCGGGUAUCGAACAGGAUUAGAUACCCUGGUAGUCCGCACGGUAAACGAUGGAUGCCCGCUGUUGGUCUGAAUAGGUCAGCGGCCAAGCGAAAGCAUUAAGCAUCCCACCCGGGGAGUACGCCGGCAACGGUGAAACUCAAAGGAAUUGACGGG